rnacentral:misc_RNA from 1 species
GGAACUGUGGUUUCCUACCUGAUCCGAGGUCACCUCUAAAAAUUGGGGGGUUUAGCGGCUGGAGCACGCCGGGACGAUCCGAACGAGGUUCGCGUUUUACCGCGUUUUACUGCGCUCAGUGUACCGACGAGCCCGCCGAUGAACUUGGGGGUCCCCCUCCCCUUCGCUCCGGCCCCCCCCCCCCCCCAACCCUCCCUCUCCCAAUGUUACUCCUCCACCCAAGCCUUCUAUUCUCUCUCCCCCCGCCGCCCCCACCCCCCCGCGCGCCGCUUCAUCAUCUCCUAUCCCCUCCACCCGCCGGUCUCGUACGGCCCGCGCUUCACCCCCGUCUCCACCGCCACACUCCUCAUUCACGCUCUCCGUAUUGGCUCCGCACUGCUCGACCCCCGCACGGACUACCCCACCCUCCUCCUCCUCGCGCUCCUCCCCCCGUUCCACGACACGAACUUCGGCUCCCCUCUGACGAACUUCGACUACCUCCUCCCGUUCGCCAUCACAGGACUCGACGCAAGGAUCAUUACUGAGUUGAAAAACUCCACCCUGUGAACAUAACCUCUGUCGUUGCUUCGGCGGGCACCCCGCCGGAGGUUCAAAACUCUUAUUUUUUCAGUAUCUCUGAGCCUGAAAGACAAAUAAUCAAACUUUCACAACGGAUCUCUUGGUUCUGGCAUCGAUGAAGAAACCAGCGAAAUGCGAUAAGUUAAUGUGGAAUUGCAAAAUUCAUGGAAUCUCCAAUCUUUUAAGCCAUUGCGCCCCCGGUAUUCCGGCGGCAUGCUGGUUCAGCGUCAUUUCACCUCACCCCCGCUGGUUGGUUGGGGGGGUAAAAAAAAAAAAAGAGGGAAAAGGAACCGCAAAUCCCCAUUCCCCCUGUAGCUAUCCUAUCCCUACUCAUAUUCUC